rnacentral:lncRNA from 1 species
UGGACAUGGCGUUGUAUUUGAAGGAGCACAGUUACAAGGAACCAUCAAACUAAAUUGAUAGUACUCCUCCCAUAAACCUUUGAUUGUGGUGAAGUUUUGCUUUACUAACAAUGAGCCUUGUGUGUAUCUACGUGUCUCGUCUUAUAGAUUAAGCUCCUGCCAGAGCAUUUGAGCAGCACUGCGUCGGAUCUCCGGUUGAGAGCACUGCGUAAGAUAUCCGGAUAGAGAGAGUUGGCGAUCUAACACAACACCAUACUAUUGCAAUCGUCCCACAAGGCAUAGCAAUUAUUUUUUACUAGAGGGGCAGUUAAAGGAGUCAAACCGGAAACAUGAUCAUCUCCAGCUCCAACUAACAUACUUUCCCUUCAAGAGUGUAUGAAACAAACACUGAAAUCUCCAGGAGACGUAAGAGGAUCUCAUCUGGAUCAUGGAGUUGGAAAUGGUUCUAAUUUUCCAUUGGCUUUGUUGCUAGUAUAGGGUAUAAAUACAAAUUGAGAAUACGGGAAAAACACAUUGAAUAUAAC